UGAACCACGGUGGAAUUUCACCUUGAGGAAAGAAAUAUCCAUGAAAAUCACUUUGUAGUCCCUGUAACAUAAAGAAUUAUGGAGACUUGAUGUUCAAUCUUUGUGUGUGUGUGAGAGAGAGAGAGAGAGAGAGAGAGAGAGAGAGAGAGAGAGAGGAACCUGGAAGUGAUUUAGAACUAAAUUCACAUGGGAGGCUUUUACAGGGUCUCCUUUGAUGAAUUCAUUCAAAUACACUGCUCCAGCAUUAAUAAAAAUAGAACUCAAAUCUUUUGAAACCCUUCCAGCAAUUAUUUGAGCCAGGCAUUUCUCAUUUGAUGGAAGCUUUUCCGAGAAUUGAUUCUUCCUAUUUGAUGGAAGCUUUUCUAUUCUUCACUAUUUGAUCGAAGCUUUUCUGUUCUGUUUUUCACUAUUUGAUAGAAGCUUUUCUGAGAAAUGAUUCUUCCUACAUUUUUCCAGAUCAAUUAAUGAGAAAUAAAAAAAGAAAACAUAUCAGUUCUGAAGCUUAUAAAAUUAAAGUUAAUGAGCCUGGCUCUAGAUUCAUUGGAAAAAUUAAAUUGUUUAAGCAAAAACUUAACCUUCCGUUGAGAAGUAACCAAAAGAACAGGGCCUUUCUUCUGGUAAUAUUGAAUUGCACUUAGUUGAUAUAGCUUGAUCAUAAACAUAGUUUGGCAGAUUAUGACAUGAUUUACAAAACUCCUGAAAUAAAAAAAAAAAAAACAUAUCAGUUCUAAAGCUUAUAAAAUUAAAGUUAAUGAGCCUAGCUCUAGAUUCAUUAGAAAAUUAAAUUGUUUAAGCAAAAACUUAACCUUUCCGUUGAGAAGUAACCAAAAGAACAAGGCCUUUCUCCUGGUAAUAUUGGAUUGCACUUAGUUGAUAUAGCUUGAUCAUAUACAUAGUUUGGCAGAUUAUUGACUUGAUUUACAAAACUUUGGAGAUA